ensembl:lncRNA
CCUCUGCUUCCCGUGUGCUUCCCGUGGGCAUGCGGGCGCUGCUGCGAGGCAGCAAGGACGGGCUGCAGUGCUCCUGCAGCCGGAGGGAGGCUCUGCCCGCGCCGUGGGGAUCCAGCCGUGCCGUGGGGCUUGCACUGUGGGGCUUGCAUCAUGGGGCUCUGCCCGUGCCGUGGGGUUGUAUCUGUGCCGUGGGGUUUGGGCCAUGGGGCUCUGCUUGCACUGUGGGGCUCUGUCCAUGCCCGUGGGACUCUGCCCGUGCUGUGGGGCUCACACCAUGGGGCUCUGCUUAUGCUAUGGGGCUCACACCAUGGGGCUCUGUCCGUGCCAUGGGGCUUGCACCAUGGGGCUCUGCCUGUGCCAAGGGGCUUGCACCAUGGGGCUCUGUCCGUGCCAUGGGGCUUGCACCAUGGGGCUCUGCUUAUGCUAUGGGGCUCACACCAUGGGGCUCUGUCCGUGCCAUGGGGCUUGCACCAUGGGGCUCUGCCUGUGCCGAGGGGCUUGCACCAUGGGGCUCUGUCCGUGCCAUGGGGCUUGCACCAUGGGGCUCUGCCUGUGCCAAGGGGCUCACACCAUGGGGCUCUGUCUGUGCUGUGGGGCUUGCACCAUGGGGCAGGGCACCGCCAGCAGCAUUUGAGCCCCUUUCCCAGAAGCAGGGGACGAUGCCUUUAGAGCGCAGCCUGUUCCUAAUGUGAUUUUUCAUCAUCAAGCCCCGUCCAGAGCCCAACGAUUGCAAAGAAAGGGAUUCUGUGUCUCCACAAAAUGUAAAAUCUUUAACGGCUCAUUGGCAUGUGCAUAAGUUGGCCUGGAUAAGAAGUUACUCCUGAGAGUCUGCUAUUGAUUCUGUCAGGGAUUCAGAGGUUUUAUAGGCAUCGCUCAGGAUCUCUUUAGUACUUGUACCUUCUUAAUGGCUCUCACCACCGAUAGAACCGAAAAUAUCCCCCUGCGCACCGGGAAGAGGCUGAGCCCAUGCCAGGAGACAGCACUUCCCUUCCCCGCCGGAGGAGCGCGGCUGUCCUCCAGGCUCGGCCAGGCAAGCCUUCCCAGACAGUCCUCAGCAAGGACAGCUUCUGUGCUUCCUUGCACGUGUGUAGGAGGUGGAGGAGAUACCAGGCUAGGGGAAAAGGUGGGUGAACUUCACCAGGAAGGCUCCUCUCCUCCUACCAGUAUGCAACAAAAUCAGUGGGCAGCUGGCUGAGUAGCAGACGGAAAUAUAAAUACACUCUGAUUUCACUGGGACCAUCUGGCUCCAGCAUGAUAGGCGGGUAAGACCGCUAUAAUCAUGGGCAGAGAACUAAGCUGAUCCAUUAAAGUCUUUUAGUAGAAGCAACUAUGGAAGCCACGUUAAUCCAGCAACGUUAUGUGAACAGACAUCACAAGGUUAGACCCAUUCAGCUGCAAUUAAAAAUAACCCUCACUGUUCAGGCUGGCUUGGGUAGCUAUUUCAUUGUUGUGUUCCCCAAAGACUUCCAUGGAUAUAGAUUGUUGAUGCUAGCACAAUGCAAUCUGAAAUUAUGAUCUUAGUGCUAAAUCUUGCUUUCUCCUGUUCUUUCCUCAAGUGGAUCUCCUCCAGGACACGGCUGUUGCCUUGUGCUGAAACCCCCUGCCCAUCAGACAGCACUGCUCGCACAGCAACUGGGAGGCUCCAUGUCAGGCAACGCCGCCACGACGGCGCUGCCGUCCUCCCGGGGCGAG